rnacentral:rRNA from 1 species
GACGAACGCUGGCGGCGUGCCUAAUACAUGCAAGUCGAACGCAGUGGGGACGGGUGAGUAACACGUGGGUAACCUCCCAUCAGAGGGGAUAACACUUGGAAACAGGUGCUAAACCGAUACUUCUGGAUGUUCCCGCGGGGCAUUAGCUAGUUGGUGAGGUAACGGCUCACCAAGGCCACGAUGCAAAGCCGACUGGAGAGGAGGAGCGGCCACACUGGGACUGGGAAACGGCCCAGACUCCUACGGGAGGCAGAAGUAGGGAAUCUUCGGCAAUGGACGAAAGGCUGACCGAGCAACGCCGCGUGAGUGAAGAAGGUUUUCGGAUCGUAAAACUCUGUUGUUAGAGAAGCGGUAUAUAAAGAGAAAGCCACGGCUAACUACGUGCCAGCAGCCGCGGUAAUAG